rnacentral:rRNA from 1 species
GUAAGCGCACGCAGCGGUCUGUCAAGUCGGAUGUGAAUCCCCGGGCUCAACCUGGGAACUGCAUUCGAAACUGGCAGGCUGGAGUCUUGUAGAGGGGGGUAGAAUUCCAGGUGUAGCGGUGAAAUGCGUAGAGAUCUGGAGGAAUACCGGUGGCGAAGGCGGCCCCCUGGACAAAGACUGACGCUCAGGUGCGAAAGCGUGGGGAGCAAACAGGAUUAGAUACCCUGGUAGUCCACGCUGUAAACGAUGUCGACUUGGAGGUUGUUCCCUUGAGGAGUGGCUUCCGGAGCUAACGCGUUAAGUCGACCGCCUGGGGAGUACGGCCGCAAGGUUAAAACUCAAAGGAAUUGACGG